GAGGUUGUAGUUCAGUGGUAGAGCUUGCCUAGCAUGUGUGAGGCCCUGGGUUCGAUCCCCAGCACCACA
rnacentral:tRNA from 1 species